GAUGAACGCUGGCGGCGUGCCUAAUACAUGCAAGUCGAGCGAACGGACGAGAAGCUUGCUUCUCUGAUGUUAGCGGCGGACGGGUGAGUAACACGUGGAUAACCUACCUAUAAGACUGGGAUAACUUCGGGAAACCGGAGCUAAUACCGGAUAAUAUUUUGAACCGCAUGGUUCAAAAGUGAAAGACGGUCUUGCUGUCACUUAUAGAUGGAUCCGCGCUGCAUUAGCUAGUUGGUAAGGUAACGGCUUACCAAGGCAACGAUGCAUAGCCGACCUGAGAGGGUGAUCGGCCACACUGGAACUGAGACACGGGCCAGACUCCUACGGGAGGCAGCAGUGGGGAAUCUUCCGCAAUGGGCGAAAGCCUAACGGAGCAACGCCGCGUGAGUGAUGAAGGUCUUCGGAUCGUAAAACUCUGUUAUUAGGGAAGAACAUAUGUGUAAGUAACUGUGCAAAUCUUGACGGUACCUAAUCAGAAAGCCACGGCUAACUACGG
rnacentral:rRNA from 1 species